GGAUAGAGGCCUACCAUGGUGGUAACGGGUAACGGGGUGUUAGGGCACGACACCGGAGAGGGAGCCUGAGAAACGGCUACCACAUCCAAGGAUGGCAGCAGGCGCGCAAAUUACCCAAUCCCGACACGGGGAGGUAGUGACAAUAAAUAACAAUACGGGGUUCUUUCGGAUCUCGUAAUUGGAAUGAGUACAAUUUAAAUCUCUUAACGAGGAACAAUUGGAGGGCAAGUCUGGUGCCAGCAGCCGCGGUAAUUCCAGCUCCAAUAGCGUAUAUUAAAGUUGUUGCAGUUAAAAAGCUCGUAGUUGAAUUUCGGGGUUAGUAGGUUGGUCAUGCCUCUGGUAUGUACUGGUCUCACUGAUUCCUCCUUCCUUAUGAACCGUAAUGCCAUUAAUUUGGUGUUGCGGGGAAUUUGGACUGUUACUUUGAAAAAAUUAGAGUGUUUAAAGCAAGCUAACGCUUGAAUACAUUAGCAUGGAAUAAUGAAAUAGGACGUUCGAUCUUAUUUUGUUGGUUUCUAGGAUUGACGUAAUGAUUAAUAGGGAUAGUUGGGGGCAUUAGUAUUCAAUUGUCAGAGGUGAAAUUCUUGGACUUAUUGAAGACUAACUACUGCGAAAGCAUUUGCCAAGGAUGUUUUCAUUAAUCAAGAACGAAAGUUAGGGGAUCGAAGACGAUCAGAUACCGUCGUAGUCUUAACCAUAAACUAUGCCGACUAGGGAUCGGAUGA
rnacentral:rRNA from 1 species